AUACGGAGGGUGCAAGCGUUACUCGGAAUCACUGGGCGUAAAGCGCGCGCAGGCGGUCUUUUAAGUGGGAUGUGAAAGCCUACGGCUCAACCGUAGAACUGCAUCCAAAACUAUUAGACUAGAGUGUGGGAGAGGAAGAUGGAAUUAGUUGUGUAGGGGUAAAAUCCGUAGAGAUAACUAGGAAUACCAAAAGCGAAGGCAAUCUUCUGGAACACUACUGACGCUGAGGCGCGAAAGCGUGGGGAGCAAACAGGAUUAGAUACCCCAGUAGUCC
rnacentral:rRNA from 1 species